rnacentral:lncRNA from 1 species
GGCAUGGAGACUUCACAACCGUUCAAGAGCCAUUAAUUCAAUUCCAGAUUACAAUACACAAUGGAUAAGAAUUCAUGUUGUAGCAGGAAUCUAUAGGUUUGUUUAAUUAGCAUUCUAGUUAUAUGUACUUAGAUUAUGCCAGCAAUAUUAUUUUAUCAGCUUAUGUUAGUUUUGGUUUCUUAAGGCUUUUUUAUUACUAAAUCACACAAAACUUUAACA